AUUAAGGCAUAAUGAGUGGAGGAGGGAAAGAAAAAUGAGGCAAGCUUUCUUUUUGAAUGAUAAGGCUUCAUGCAUGGUCAUGGGAUAUAUCUACGUAUUUGUUUUCUUCUUUAAACCUUUUUAAAGUUUCAAAAGGGCGCAUGUGUGUAUUGCUAUUGCAGCAAAUUAGCUUUUGCAUAGGGUUCCACAAGAGGGAGUAACAUGGGCUUUCUUGCUUGAAUCAGUGGCCUCUUUUUGGCGGGAGACUUCGCUGUCAAGAAAGAGACCAAUGAGAUGCCCAUUUCUGGUUUCUUGCCGUUUGGAGGGCUCCACCAAUUGAAGAUUUUAAAAAGGUCGACAGGAUUGCGCGUUCCUCUUCCUAUUGGGCCACGUGGUGGAUAGAGGACUUACCCACCUGGCAAGGUUAACGAGCUAGAUAUCUGUUUGGUGGAGGAAAUAUAAGUAAAAGUUUUUUUUUUCUUUUCUUUUUUUGGGUUAUAAUAAUACGUGCAAGUUUAUAUAA